AUCGAACGCUGGCGGCAGGCCUAACACAUGCAAGUCGAACGAGCGGCGGACAGGUGUGAAAUGUAUGGGGACUGCCCGCCAGCGGGGGAGAACUACUGUUAACGGUGGCUAAUACCGCCUACCGUCGGUUAACCCCUAUGGGAUUAGCUAGUGGUUACGGUAAUGGCUUACCUGGGCGACGUUCCCUAGCUGGUCUGCGAGGAUGAUAAGCAAAACUGGGACUGUGAAACGGCCCAGACUCCUACGGGGGCAGCAGUGGGGAAUAUUGCACAAUGGGGGAAAGCCGGAGGCAGCCAUGCCGCGUGUAUGAGGAGGGCCCUAGGGUUGUAAGGUACUUUCAUUCGGGAGGCGGUACCGACAGAAGAAGCACCGGCUAACUCCGUGCCAGCAGCCGCGGUAAUAC
rnacentral:rRNA from 1 species